UGGGGAAUCUUGCGCAAUGGGCGAAAGCCUGACGCAGCCAUGCCGCGUGAAUGAUGAAGGUCUUAGGAUUGUAAAAUUCUUUCACCGGGGACGAUAAUGACGGUACCCGGAGAAGAAGCCCCGGCUAACUUCGUGCCAGCAGCCGCGGUAAUACGAAGGGGGCUAGCGUUGCUCGGAAUUACUGGGCGUAAAGGGAGCGUAGGCGGACAUUUAAGUCAGGGGUGAAAUCCCGGGGCUCAACCUCGGAACUGCCUUUGAUACUGGGUGUCUUGAGUGUGAUAGAGGUAUGUGGAACUCCGAGUGUAGAGGUGAAAUUCGUAGAUAUUCGGAAGAACACCAGUGGCGAAGGCGACAUACUGGGUCAUUACUGACGCUGAGGCUCGAAAGCGUGGGGAGCAAACAGGAUUAGAUNCCCUGGUAGUCCACGCCGUAAANGAUGAUUGCUAGUUGUCGGGUUGUUUACAACUCGGUGACGCAGCUAACGCAUUAAGCAAUCCGCCUGGGGAGUACGGUCGCAAGAUUAAAACUCAAAUGAAUUGACGGGGUCAUAGCUGUUUCCUA
rnacentral:rRNA from 1 species